UGAGUAACCUGCCCUUAACUCUGGGAUAAGCCUGGGAAACUGGGUCUAAUACCGGAUAUGACUCCUCAUCGCAUGGUGGGGGGUGGAAAGCUUUUUGUGGUUUUGGAUGGGCUCGCGGCCUAUCAGCUUGUUGGUGAGGUAAUGGCUCACCAAGGCGACGACGGGUAGCCGGCCUGAGAGGGUGACCGGCCACACUGGGACUGAGACACGGCCCAGACUCCUACGGGAGGCAG
rnacentral:rRNA from 1 species